rnacentral:lncRNA from 1 species
ACCACGAAGAACAAAGAUCUGAAACUGUAAUAACUGAGGUGGCAUAAAACUGGGAUUCAGGAACUACUCUCAGACAGCUUAUUGGAGGACAUUUUUUCCCCCUACUGUUCCUUAGACAAUGCUCUACAGAAAUGGCUCAGGAGCAGAAAAGACAUGAAAGGAUUACCAAGUGGAGCUAUUUGAGGGAAACCUGGUUCGUUAUUUGGAGACAGGAAUAUAUUUUCAGCAUGGAGUAG